AGGCGGACGGGUGAGUAAUGCUCUUGGGAAACUGCCUGAUGGAGGGGGAUAACUACUGUAAACGGUAGCUAAUACCGCAUAACGUCGCAAGACCAAAGAGGGGGACCUUCGGGCCUCUUGCCAUCGGAUGUGCCCAGAUGGGAUUAGCUAGUAGGUGGGGUAACGGCUCACCUAGGCGACGAUCCCUAGCUGGUCUGAGAGGAUGACCAGCCACACUGGAACUGAGACACGGUCCGGACUCCUACGGGAGGCAGCAGUGGGGAAUAUUGCACAAUGGGCGCAAGCCUGAUGCAGCCAUGCCGCGUGUAUGAAGAAGGCCUUCGGGUUGUAAAGUACUUUCAGCGGGGAGGAAGGCGAUAAGGUUAAUAACCUUGUCGAUUGACGUUACCCGCAGAAGAAGCACCGGCUAACUCCGUGCCAGCAGCCGCGGUAAUACGGAGGGUGCAAGCGUUAAUCGGAAUUACUGGGCGUAAAGCGCACGCAGGCGGUCUGUCAAGUCGGAUGUGAAAUCCCCGGGCUCAACCUGGGAACUGCAUUCGAAACUGGCAGGCUAGAGUCUUGUAGAGGGGGGUAGAAUUCCAGGUGUAGCGGUUGAAAUGCGUAGAGAUCUGGAGGAAUACCGGGUGGCGAAGGCGGGCCCCCCUGGACAAAGACUGACGCUCAGGUGCGAAUAUGCGUGGGGAGCAAACAGGAUUAAAUACCCUGGGUAACUCCACCGCCC
rnacentral:rRNA from 1 species